rnacentral:rRNA from 1 species
CCUACGGGUGGCAGCAGUGGGGAAUAUUGGGCAAUGGGCGCAAGCCUGACCCAGCAACGCCGCGUGAAGGAAGAAGGCUUUAGGGGUGUAAACUUCUUUUUUUAGGGACGAAGAAAGUGACGGUACCUGAGGAAUAAGCCACGGCUAACUACGUGCCAGCAGCAGCGGCAAUACGUAGGUGGCAAGCGUUAUCCGGAUUUAUUGGGUGUAAGGGGUGUGUAGGCGGGAGGGCAAGUCAGAUGUGAAAACUCAGGGCUCAACCCUGAGCCUGCAUUUGAAACUGUGUUUCUUGAGUGCUGGAGAGGCAAUCGGAAUUCCGGGUGUAGCGGUGAAAUGCGUAGAUAUAAGGAAGAACACCAGUGGCGAAGGCAGAUUGCUGGACAGUAACUGACGCUGAGGCGCGAAAGCGUGGGGAGCAAACAGGAUUAGAUACCCGAGUAGUC